rnacentral:rRNA from 1 species
UAUACCGUGAAACUGCGAAUGGCUCAUUAAAUCAGUUAUCGUUUAUUUGAUAGUACCUUACUACUUGGAUAACCGUGGUAAUUCUAGAGCUAAUACAUGCUAAAAACCCCAACUUCGGAAGGGGUGUAUUUAUUAGAUAAAAAACCAACGCCCUUCGGGGCUUCUUGGUGAUUCAUGAUAACUUUACGGAUCGCAUGGCCUUGCGCCGGCGACGGUUCAUUCAAAUUUCUGCCCUAUCAACUUUCGAUGGUAAGGUAUUGGCUUACCAUGGUUUCAACGGGUAACGGGGAAUUAGGGUUCGAUUCCGGAGAGGGAGCCUGAGAAACGGCUACCACAUCCAAGGAAGGCAGCAGGCGCGCAAAUUACCCAAUCCCGACACGGGGAGGUAGUGACAAUAAAUACUGAUACAGGGCUCUUUUGGGUCUUGUAAUUGGAAUGAGUACAAUUUAAACCUCUUAACGAGGAACAAUUGGAGGGCAAGUCUGGUGCCAGCAGCCGCGGUAAUUCCAGCUCCAAUAGCGUAUAUUAAAGUUGUUGCAGUUAAAAAGCUCGUAGUUGAAACUUGGGUCUGGCUGGCAGGUCCGCCUCACCGCGUGUACUUGUCCGGCCGGGCCUUCCUUCUGGAGAACCUCAUGCCCUUCACUGGGCGUGUUGGGGACCAGGACUUUUACUUUGAAAAAAUUAGAGUGUUCAAAGCAGGCCUUUGCUCGAAUACGUUAGCAUGGAAUAAUAGAAUAGGACGUGCGGUCCUAUUUUGUUGGUUUCUAGGACCGCCGUAAUGAUUAAUAGGGACAGUCGGGGGCAUCAGUAUUCAAUUGUCAGAGGUGAAAUUCUUGGAUUUAUUGAAGACUAACUACUGCGAAAGCAUUUGCCAAGGAUGUUUUCAUUAAUCAGUGAACGAAAGUUAGGGGAUCGAAGACGAUCAGAUACCGUCGUAGUCUUAACCGUAAACUAUGCCGACUAGGGAUCGGGCGAUGUUCUUUUUCUGACUCGCUCGGCACCUUACGAGAAAUCAAAGUU